GGAGACGUAUCGAAGUGGUCAUAACGAGAGCGACUCGAAAUCGUUUGAUCCGCAAGGGUCCGUGGGUUCGAAUCCCACCGUCUCCGCCA
rnacentral:tRNA from 1 species